UGGGGAAUUUUGGACAAUGGGGGAAACCCUGAUCCAGCCAUCCCGCGUGUGCGAUGAAGGCCUUCGGGUUGUAAAGCACUUUUUGCAGGAAAGAAACGUCAUGGGUUAAUACCCCGUGAAACUGACGGUACCUGCAGAAUAAGCACCGGCUAACUACGUGCCAGCAGCCGCGGUAAUACGUAGGGUGCAAGCGUUAAUCGGAAUUACUGGGCGUAAAGCGUGCGCAGGCGGUUCGGAAAGAAAGAUGUGAAAUCCCAGAGCUCAACUUUGGAACUGCAUUUUUAACUACCGGGCUAGAGUGUGUCAGAGGGAGGUGGAAUUCCGCGUGUGGCAGUGAAAUGCGUAGAUAUGCGGAGGAACACCGAUGGCGAAGGCAGCCUCCUGGGAUAACACUGACGCUCAUGCACGAAAGCGUGGGGAGCAAACAGG
rnacentral:rRNA from 1 species